rnacentral:rRNA from 1 species
CCUACGGGUGGCAGCAGUGAGGAAUAUUGGUCAAUGGGCGCGAGCCUGAACCAGCCAAGUCGCGUGAGGGAAGACGGUCCUGUGGAUUGUAAACCUCUUUUGUCGGGGAGCAAAAGACGCCACGUGUGCCGUUCCGAGAGUACCCGAAGAAAAAGCAUCGGCUAACUCCGUGCCAGCAGCCGCGGUAAUACGGAGGAUGCGAGCGUUAUCCGGAUUUAUUGGGUUUAAAGGGUGCGCAGGCGGAAGAUCAAGUCAGCGGUAAAAUUGAGGGGCUCAACCUCUUCGAGCCGUUGAAACUGGUUGUCUUGAGUGAGCGAGAAGUAUGCGGAAUGCGUGGUGUAGCGGUGAAAUGCAUAGAUAUCGCGCAGAACUCCGAUUGCGAAGGCAGCAUACCGGCGCUCAACUGACGCUCAUGCACGAAAGUGUGGGUAUCGAACAGGAUUAGAUACCCUAGUAGUC